rnacentral:tRNA from 1 species
GGGGGUAUAGCUCAGUUGGGAGAGCGCCGCGUUCGCAUCGCGGAGGCCAGGGGUUCGAGUCCCCUUACCUCCACCU